rnacentral:rRNA from 1 species
ACUUGGAUAUGGAUUCUUCACGGCAACGUAACAGAAUGCGGAGACGCCGGCAUGAGCCCUGGGAGGAGUUUUCUNUUCUUGUUAACGGCCCAUCACCCUGGAAUUGGUUUAUCCGGAGAGGGGGUUUUAUGGCNGGAAGAGCGCGGCCUUACUCAAACGUUAGCCGCGUCCGGUGCGCUCAUNACGGUCCUUGAAAAUCCGCAGGAAGGAAUAGUUUUCAUGCCAAGUNGUNCU